GAUGAACGCUGGCGGCGUGCCUAAUACAUGCAAGUCGAGCGGAAAGGCCUCUUCGGAGAUACUCGAGCGGCGGACGGCUGAGUAACGCGUAGGAACGUACCCCAAACUGAGGGAUAACUGCUCGAAAGAGUAGCUAAUACCGCAUGUGCUCUACGGAGUAAAGCUUCGGCGGUUUGGGAACGGCCUGCGUAAGAUUAGCUUGUUGGUGAGGUAAUGGCUCACCAAGGCGACGAUCUUUAGCUGGUCUGAGAGGAUGAUCAGCCAGACUGGGACUGAGACACGGCCCAGACUCCUACGGGAGGCAGCAGUAGGGAAUUUUCCACAAUGGGCGAAAGCCUGAUGGAGCAACGCCGCGUGCAGGAUGAAGGCUUUCGGGUCGUAAACUGCUUUUAUAUGUGACGAUUUUGACGGUAGCAUAUGAAUAAGGAUCGGCUAACUCCGUGCCAGCCGCCGCAGUAA
rnacentral:rRNA from 1 species